UCAGUCCUCACCACACUCACUUUUCACACACCAUCAAAACCACCAGCAUCCAUGUCACUAAGAGCCCAACUCUCUCUCUCCGUAACAAAAGACUGAACUAAAAAUGUACUUCUUAGCUAAAUAGACUUUGAACAGAAUUGAUAUGGUUGAGAGACUGAUUUCAAAUAUGACCAUGUUCACAUUGUAACUGAGCAGUUUUCACAAACUAUUGACAAAAUGUGAAUAUGUAUAAGGGCACCUUGCAGGACUCUAAUCCAUUUAUUUUUCAACAGGGAGCAGCAGUGUUCAUGGAAGUCCCCAUAACUCCCUCAACGGUAGAGUUGGCAGUAACUUGUAGCUAUGAAGAAUCUAUAACAAGGUACACUUGGUUUUUCUUGUCUUCUGCAACGGAGGCAAGAUCCACUUGAUUUAAUUAAAAAUUAGAGUCCAACAACAUGUCUGUUGCACAGAAGGGUUUGUCUGAGUCAGUCCAGCCAGGAGACUCUGAGACUCUGAACUGAACAAUAUACACUGAGACCUGUGCAGGAGAACACAGUGUCUAUUGGUUCAGACAUCGCUCAGGAGAAUCCCAUCCAGGAAUCAUUUACACCCAUGGAAACAGGAGUGAUCAGUGUGAGAAGAACUAUGAGGAUUGAUCUCCUACACAGAGCUGUGUCUACGAUCUCCCCAAGUGGAACCUCAGCCUCUCUGAUGCUGGGACUACUGUGCUGUGGCCUCAUGUGGGGAGAUACUGUUUGGGAACUGGACCAAGCUGGAUGUUGAGCGUGGUCACUCUGAUGAUCAACAGAUGAGAAUCCUGGUCCUUCUCUCCAUCAUAAGAACUAGAGUUCUCGUCUGCUGUCUGACCAUCUUCAUCAUCAUCUACACCACCAGGAAAUAGAUCAAUCUAAGACAAAUGUCGAUGGACUUUUUGCAGUAAA